GGCAAGAUGGCCGAGCGGUUAAGGCGUGUGACUCAAGCGAAAGCUUCCCUUCGCGGGGUUUCUCAUCACGUAAUGUGGCGUGGGUUCGAAUCCCACUCUUGUCA